GAUAAACGCUGGCGGCGCACAUAAGACAUGCAAGUCGAACGGAAGUCGUUGUAAUGAAAUCAAAAAGAACGGAGAACUUGUUCGAAGGAAAUGGAGAUAGACUUACAACAAUGGCUUUAGUGGCGGACUGGUGAGUAACACGUAAGCAACCUGCCUGUUAGAGGGGGAACAACAGUUAGAAAUGACUGCUAAUACCGCAUAUGCCUUAGUAACGCAUGUUACAAAAGGGAAAGGAGCAAUCCGCUAACAGAUGGGCUUGCGUCUGAUUAGAUAGUUGGUGGGGUAAAGGCCUACCAAGUCGACGAUCAGUAGCCGGACUGAGAGGUUGAACGGCCACAUUGGGACUGAGAUACGGCCCAGACUCC
rnacentral:rRNA from 1 species